rnacentral:rRNA from 1 species
CAGUCUCCUACGGGUGGCUGCAGUGGGGAAUAUUGCACAAUGGGGGAAACCCUGAUGCAGCGACGCCGCGUGGAGGAAGAAGGUCUUCGGAUUGUAAACUCCUGUUGUUGAGGAAGAUAAUGACGGUACUCAACAAGGAAGUGACGGCUAACUACGUGCCAGCAGCCGCGGUAAAACGUAGGUCACAAGCGUUGUCCGGAAUUACUGGGUGUAAAGGGAGCGCAGGCGGGAAGACAAGUUGGAAGUGAAAUCCAUGGGCUCAACCCAUGAACUGCUUUCAAAACUGUUUUUCUUGAGUAGUGCAGAGGUAGGCGGAAUUCCCGGUGUAGCGGUGGAAUGCGUAGAUAUCGGGAGGAACACCAGUGGCGAAGGCGGCCU